rnacentral:rRNA from 1 species
UAAUACUAGCGGUCCAAGUCGCAGCCAUUUUUAUUGGGUCUAAAACAUCCGUAGCUUGCUUGAUAAGUUUCUUGUGGAAUCUUGUCUCUUAAAGGCAGGGCGAGCAAGAAGGACUGUCAAGCUAGAGAUUGGGAGACGUAAGGAGUACGAUUGAAGUAGCGGUAAAAUGUGUUAAUCUCAAUCGGACUAACAAUAGCGAAGGCACCUUACGAGAACAGUUCUGACAGUCAGGGAUGAAGGCUAGGGGCGCAAAACGGAUUAGAUACCCGUGUAGUCCUAGCAGUAAACACUGCACACUAAACAUUGGGAUCUCUUCGAGAGAUUUCAGUGCUGCAGGGAAGCCGAAGAGUGUGCUACCUGGGAAGUAUAGCCGCAAGGCCG